GACGAACGCUGGCGGCGUGCUUAACACAUGCAAGUCGAACGGUGACCCAGGGCUUGCCCUGGUGAUCAGUGGCGAACGGGUGAGUAACACGUGGGCAACCUGCCCCUGACUUCGGGAUAACUCCUCGAAAGAGGAGCUAAUACCGGAUACGACCACUUCGGACAUCCGAUGGUGGUGGAAAGUUCUUCGGUCAGGGAUGGGCCCGCGGCCUAUCAGCUAGUUGGUGGGGUAAUGGCCUACCAAGGCGACGACGGGUAGCCGGCCUGAGAGGGCGACCGGCCACACUGGGACUGAGACACGGCCCAGACUCCUACGGGAGGCAGCAGUGGGGAAUAUUGCGCAAUGGGCGAAAGCCUGACGCAGCGACGCCGCGUGAGGGAUGAAGGCCUUCGGGUUGUAAACCGUCUUUCAGCAGGACGAAGCGAAAGUGACGGUACCUGCAGAAGAAGCACCGGCUAACUACGUAGCCAGCAGCCGCGGUAAU
rnacentral:rRNA from 1 species